UGAUCAUGACUGGCAGAUGACCCCUAUUGAUUUUCAGGUCACUAGGUCAAAGGUCAAGGUCACCAUGACCCGAAAUAGUAAAAUGGUUUCCGGAUGAUAACUGAAGAAUGCUUAUUCCUAGGAUCAUGAAACUUGAUAGGUAGAAUGAUCAUGACUCGCAGAUGACCCCUAUUGAUUUUCAGGUCACUAGGUCAAAGGUCAAGGUCACGGUGACCCGAAACAGUAAAAUUGUUUCCGGAUGAUAACUCGAGAACGCUUUUGCCUAGGAUCAUGACACUUCAUAGGUACAUUGAUCAUGACUCGCAGAUGACCCGUAUUGAUUUUCAGGUCACUAGGUCAAAGGUCAAUGUCACAGUGACAAAAAACGUAUUCACACAAUGGCUGCCACUACAACGGACAGCCCAUAUGGGGGGCAUGCAUGUUUUACAAACAGCCCUUGUUGCAAUAAAAUUCUAUGUAACGUUCAUUUAUCAUGUAAUACCCAUAAUCUAUCAGUCAUCAUUCAUAUUCUGUUAUGCCAUUUGUGCAUCUAGGUUUUGAGUGUUAAACUUAUGUAACAGCAUCACAUUUCAUUAUCACAUCACAUUACAUCUGUUGUGCACUCAAACAUUGUAAUGCAAAACAUACGUUUAGACGUAGUGUUUGAAGUGA